rnacentral:rRNA from 1 species
AAUAGAUACCCUGGUAGUCCUUGCCGUAAACGAUGCAUACUAGGUGUAGGAGGGCUCAACCCUUUCUGUACCGGAGCUAACGCAUUAAGUAUGCCGCCUGGGGAGUACGCUCGCAAGGGUGAAACUCAAAAGAAUUGACGGGGGCCCGCACAAGCAGUGGAGCAUGUGGUUUAAUUCGAUGCAACGCGAAGAACCUUACCUGGGCUCGAAAUGUAGAGGAAGAUAUCAGAGAUGGUAUUGCUCGAAAGGGUCUUUAUAUAGGUGCUGCAUGGCUGUCGUCAGCUCGUGCCGUGAGGUGUUUGGUUAAGUCCAGCAACGAGCGCAACCCUUAUCGUUAGUUGCCAGCGCGUAAUGGCGGGAACUCUAACGAGACUGCCUGGGUUAACCAGGAGGAAGGUGAGGAUGACGUCAAGUCCGCAUGGCCUUUAUGUCCAGGGCUACACACGUGCUACAAUGGUCGGUACAGAAGGCAGCGAAACCGUAAGCGGAGCAAAUCCCAGAAAACCGAUCUCAGUUCAGAUUGU